rnacentral:rRNA from 1 species
CCUUGCGAAAGUAAGACUAAUACCCAAUGACGUCUCUAGAAGACAUCUGAAGGAGAUUAAAGAUUUAUCGGUGAUGGAUGGGGAUGCGUCUGAUUAGCUUGUUGGCGGGGUAACGGCCCCACCAAGGCGACGAUCAGUAGGGGUUCUGAGAGGAAGGUCCCCCACAUUGGAACUGAGACACGGUCCAAACUCCUACGGGAGGCAGCAGUGAGGAAUAUUGGUCAAUGGACGAGAGUCUGAACCAGCCAAGUAGCGUGCAGGAUGACGGCCCUAUGGGUUGUAAACUGCUUUUAUAAGGGAAUAAAGUGAGUCUCGUGAGACUUUUUGCAUGUACCUUAUGAAUAAGGACCGGCUAAUUCCGUG